AUUACUUUGGCAGAGUUAAGUGCAUUAAAUUUAGAAUUUAAUAAAAAUAUAUAAUUAUAUAAGUAAUA
rnacentral:tRNA from 1 species